GACGAGCGGCGGACGGGUGAGUAAUGCAUAGGAAUCUGCCCGAUAGUGGGGGAUAACCUGGGGAAACCCAGGCUAAUACCGCAUACGUCCUACGGGAGAAAGGGGGCUCCGGCUCCCGCUAUGGGAUGAGCCUAUGUCGGAUUAGCUAGUUGGUGAGGUAACGGCUCACCAAGGCGACGAUCCGUAGCUGGUCUGAGAGGAUGAUCAGCCACAUCGGGACUGAGACACGGCCCGAACUCCUACGGGAGGCAGCAGUGGGGAAUAUUGGACAAUGGGGGAAACCCUGAUCCAGCCAUGCCGCGUGUGUGAAGAAGGCCCUCGGGUUGUAAAGCACUUUCAGCGAGGAAGAACGCCUAGCGGUUAAUACCCGCUAGGAAAGACAUCACUCGCAGAAGAAGCACCGGCUAACUCCGUGCCAGCAGCCGCGGUAAUACGGAGGGUGCAAGCGUUAAUCGGAAUUAC
rnacentral:rRNA from 1 species